CAUGCUGGUACCAUUUUGGCAUAGUGUUUGUACUAGUUGGUUCAUGGUAUUAGCACUCGGUACACCCCUGCACCAAGUAUUGAUUCACCAUUGGUAUGGUAUCUAUGCCCAGUACAAUAAACCAUAAUGCUAAAUUGGUAAAUGCUAUAUUGAAUAAAGUAAUUCGGCCAUAAGAGGAUUGCUUUUCUCCUUUCAUUUGGCUUGUAUUCUGAUGUGUCUCCAUAAUCAGCACCUCAAUAUUCAAGCUUGUUAGUGGCAAAAGGCAACCCUUAGUAUCGAGGUUUUAAAUGUUGGUACCGAAUCCUAUACUGUUUUAUUAUCAGAGUGGUAUGAUACUGAUAGUUUGAUACCAGCGGCAAAUACCAAAAUCAACACCAUCAAAAAGCAUGAAAAAUCAUUGGUAUUGACUAAUAUGGUUAGCAUGAUACCAUUGAUAUGCAGUAUCAGAUAUUGGUACUUUACUAGAAUGGAUGGUUUUGGCAUCCGUAUCAGGGCUGAUUUUGUGUUAGAAUGGUUCAAUACCAUACCGACCCAUGGGUUUUAAAUUUGUGCUAAAUAUUGAUCUUGGAAAGUCACUAGGUAGUUUACGAUGUGAUGCACUAUAUGAUAAUUAGUUAUUGCCUGUAAUUCUGAUUGCUUCCCCAAUGUCAUUCUUUUCAAAUUCUCAAACAAAAAACUUUGAAUAACCUUUUAGCCACUCAGUAAAGGCCCACAAUGCUAAGUGUCCUAGAUUGUAGUAACAAAUGUUUAACCUAAUUAAGCUCCAAUUUAGUAAACCAUCCUGAUGUAAUCUUGAGUACAGAGUUGCAUGAUUUUGUAGUAGAGAGGAAAGAAAAUAGGAGUAGAAGGAGAACAAGAUGAGAAAAGGAAAAGAAAGUAAGAUAGGGAUGUGAAUCCACCAUAAGAGAAAUAUUUUCACUCAAAAUUCAACCAUAAUUUCUCUUGAUCAUGAUAAUGGCCCACUUAUUAAGCAAUUGAAUUGGUGUUUGCCUACACUAGAAAUUUUAAACUUCUAGCUUUAAGUAAACACUCAACUCAACUCAACUAAGCCUUAAUCCCAACUAGGUGGGGUGGGCUACAUCCUUUUUCUCCAUUCCUCUCGAUUUAGGGCCAUGCUUUCUGAAAGAUGUUGAGAUAUUAAGUUUUUCUUAAUACUUCAUUCCAUGUAAUUUUUUUGUCUACCUCUAUCUUCUUCAUUCUUUUAACAUGUAUCAAAUCACUUUUGGUACUGGUGCAUCCCUCAGCUUAUGUUGUACAUGCCAAAUCAUCUAAGCCCUUUCAAUUUAUCUUCAAUUGGUGCUACCUUCACCUUUUUUUAUAAACCAUUGAAGUCAUCUUUCUCUCAAACCGACGCAACGGGAAGGAAGAAGGGGCGAUUAGAUUGACGAGGAUAUGUUCAAAGAUCAACACCCAAAUAGACGGAAAUUGGAUUGAAGAAUCCUUCACUUGGGAAAGAAAUUCUCUCAAAAGAAAUUUUAUUAAUAUCUCAAGUGCUGCUCAUCACAAUGUAUUAUGCGCAUAUUUAUAGGUCAUUACACCAUAACCCUAAUUCAUGUAUUAAACCCAAUACAACAUCAUACUCGAAAUAAGACUCGACAAUAAGAAAAUAUUCUAGAAUUAUUCUAUUACAAAUAUGUGAACCUGGCUAAAAUUUGAUACUAUUUUUAAUGAAAAAUUUAUAAGAAAAUUUGCCGAAAAUCUCUUGGCAUGGCUCAAAUAUUUGUUUACUGCAGUCUUCACCCUCGAAUCUACUGGCUCUUUUGACGCUUGGCAUGGUCUAAUUGGUCAUAGUACUUGUUGGCUGCACCCUGUGCUGCAUCACAAUCUAUUCGUUAAUUGGUGCUACCUUCAUCUAUUUUACAAAUAACUUCAUUUUUUAUGCAAUCUUUUCUUGUAUUACUAUAAACAUUCUCAUUUCGGCCUCACUUAUCUUGUGUGUAUGUUGUUUUCUAACUGCCUAAUAUUCUAUACCAUAAAAUAUAGCUAACCUUGUGGCUGUCUUGGAAAAUUUUUUCUUCAACUUGGUAGGUAUCCUAUGUUACAUAAUAUUCUAUUUGCACUUCUUCAUAUCAUCCAAUCCGCUUCAAUCCUAUAGUUAACAUCCUCUUCAAUCUCUCUCUCCUUCUAAAUAAUCAAUCUCGAGUACCAAGAUGAUCACUUUUAGGAACUUAAUGAUCCUCAAUUUUCAUUCCAUCUUCAUCUAUAUUUCUAAUUUUACUACAACUAUGUUUCAUGUAUUUUAUUUUGGUCCUACUAACCUAAAACUCUUAGAUUCUAAUGCACUCCUCCAAAAUUCCAAUUUACGGUUAACCUCGAUCUUAGUUUCAUCCACUAAGACUAUAACAUCCAAAAAAAAAGCAUUCAUCAAGGAAUAUCAUCCUAAAUAUGCCCAAUAAGCCAUCCAUAAUUAGCACAAAAUGAUCAUUCUUAGCUUGAAGUAAACAAUGAUGAAAAUAUAGAAGGCGGUACUGUCCUGAACCAUCUGCUUCAGGGCGUGCCUAACUGUACCGGGGGCGGACUGACUUGAUUCCGCCCCACUGUUUGAGAAAUCCAAUGAGGGAGGGGGAGAGGGAGAAGGAAAGAGAGGAAGGGAGGGAGGAAGUUAAUCAUAGACUCUCUCCCUCUCUCUCUUCCUCUCUUUUCUUCUCCCUUUCCCCUCGCUCGCCGGCUCUGGCUGUAUUAGUACGGGCCUAGAACAGCAUGGUACCAUACCAUAUUGUACCGCCAAGCAACCGGUAUGGAUCUUGGUACCGACACAUUAUACCUUGGAUGAAAAUGAAGUACUUCAGGUAAGCUGCGGUUAAAUUGAUAUAUUUUGAGGUAUAUAGUAUGGGGUAAGUCAAUUAUAGACUUGAAUCAAGAGCUCCUGAGCAUAGUUCACUUUUCUAUGAGGAUGCUAUCAGUAGAUGACCAUUUCUAGCUAACCUCUGCAAAACAUUAUCGGUAACAUCUAGUUAGAAAUAUAUCAAAUUGAUGCUAUAUGAUUAUUCUAACUUUUAAUUUAAUUCUUUAUGGGUAAUUGUAGAAGAAAAAUUGAUUUUUCAUUUAAGUUAUUUGAUACUUUUUUUGUAGAUUACUGAUGCUCUCUAUGCAUGGGCAUAUGUUGCAAGAUUUGGCGAACUACUAGGCAAGAAUAUUGAGCAAGAUCCAUCAGUUGUGCUGAGUCUGCAUACAUAUUUUCUAAAAUUUUGGAUGUUGUUGAAUGUACCAUUACGACGGAUUGAACAAAAUCAAAGGUUGUGUUUAAAAUAAAUAACAGUCUCCCUCCACCUAUGCUUUGGUUUCUUGCUCUUCUUUGUAAUUUCGGUUAUUUGGCUUCUAAUUUGCGAUUAUACUGCGAGUAGGUCACAUGCAUUAAGCUACAAAGAACUAAAAAAUAGGGACUUAUUUGACCUCUCUGUCAACUGUUGGUUUUUCAAUUUAGUUUUUUCAUUCCAUUUGGCUUGGUAGGAUAUAUUAUUUGGAUGCUUAUCCCCAAGGAUCUCUUUUGGAGUAGAAACUCCUGCAACUUAUAUUAGAAUUUAAGAGGCUGGUUCUUUCUAAAAGCCCGUUAGCAGAACUAAAGAUUUAUCUACUACUUGAAGCGAAAGCUCAUCUGACUAGCAGUAAUUUAAAAGUGAGUUGGUAAUUAUUCUACUUCAUCUAUAUGCAAACAUCAAGGCUAGAUAACCUCCUAUUGACUCAUUGAUGUUAAUGCAUGGAACUCAAUUUGUUAUGUGAGUCAAUCGAAGCUUUGUUCAGCUUGUUGUUUGCCUUGCAAGUGUUUUGAGUAUAUGGAAAAUAUUCAAAAAAACGAGAAGAUGAGAGUGCUUGCCAACCAAUGACAUGGAUUUACAUGACUGAAGGUGUCAAGAAUCAUCUUUUUAUGUGCUAUCUGUCAUUUCCAAAUAAAGAGACAUCAAUGAUUUUUUACAGAAAAAAAUAUUUAACUCAUCACACUUUAUUAUUAGCUGUCACAAGCUGUGUGGUAUUGUAUACAUUAUACAUGCAGAUACAUAUGCAUGUAUAGUUGUAUAUGAUUGUUUGCCAUCUGUAACAUCUGAAAUGGACAAUGAAAAAAGGAUUAACAUUUGCAUCCAGUUGCCAUCCUAUGGUCAACUUUUAACAGAAUGAUAUGACGAUUUAACAUGCUUUAUUGUUUAGAAGUAUCUAAACCACUUAAUUUUGGUUCAUAUGCAUUGUAACAGAGGUAGAUCAUUGGCAAAUGGUGUAGGUUUUCGAUUUAACCAGGCUCAACCAGUACUAUCCAUUUUGUGACAGCCUGAGUAUGAAACAUUUGACAUGUGUCUUUUUUAAGAUAUAAUGAGCAAUGUGAAUUCUCACUGGGGCCGGCUUAUCAAAUAAUUUGCACUUAUUUGAUUGAUCCAAUCUGAAUUCCACUUAGUAGAGUUUUGGUCUUUCCCUCUCUCUCUUGUGAAAAACAGACAUGCGCACAUACAUACGAGCACAAACAUGUACAUUUAAGAGGAUCAUACAAUAUUAGGAACUGAACCAAAUUGCAUGCAAUACCUCAUCUUAUGAUACAAAUAUAUAUGUCUUCAUGCAGUUCAUGCAACUUUGAUGUUUCAGGAGUUUGAGCAUAAGCAUAGACAAUAUUGAGCUCAAGGUUUAAAAUAUGGGUAUCACUGUCCAUAGUCAAGGUCGGCAAAACCGUCCCAAAUCAGGCGGUUCCGGCCGACUUGAGCCGUACCGGUGGCUCACCGGUAUGGAUCCGGCAACGAAAAUGAGAUCCAUUGCUGGAGCUGGAGAAGGAUAAGGAAAGAGAGAGCGAGCGAGGGAUGGAGGGAGAGGUGGAGGACGCCGUUGGAGGGCCGUGGGGGGAACUGGCUGCGCCUUGCCUGCCGCGGCCACCGCCCCCCCCCCACGCCCUCCGUCGGCCCGCCUGCGGCCCUCCGCCGGUGUCUGCCACCCUCCGCUAGCCUCUCUCCCUCUUCUCUCUCUCUCUUUUUCGCUCUCGCACGGUACCGAUAAUCUCUCUCGGUACAAACCCGACACGGUCCAUACCGAAUCGUCCUGCUGGAGAACCGGUACGGUGCCCGGUACUGGUUUCUUUGACCUUGGUCCAUACUAUUAUUUUUUGGGGACAAUACAGUUUUAGGAUAUAUCGUUCUAUCUCUUGGUAUGGUCCAAUAUCCUAGUGGAGUCAUAGGAUGUUUUCUUUUUUUGAUUUUAUAUUUUUUGUAUUUUUCAAUUUUUAUUUUUUUUAAUCUCAAAAUGAUUUGUUAGUGAAAAUUUUUUCCAUGUUCAAGUGUUUUUUAAGGCAAUGAUGGGAUAUGAAUUCAAUAAUAUUUAUAAAAAUUUGUCAUUAGUUCACUAUUUUUCUUAUCCUUUGGCCCAUUAGUGGAGAAAAAAGAAAGAUGGCAAAACAAAAAAACUGGUUUUUUGGGGGGGGUGGGGGGCGGUGUAGGGUGGGGAGGGAUGAAGCGUUACUGGAUGGAUGACGUUUUUAGUGUCAAGGAGACUGGAUGGCAUCAAGGAUAUGCUGGAUCUACCCUUCUUCCCUUCCCCUUUCCCAUCCUUCUCUUUCUCGCGAUCUCUUUAUGCCUCUCUUUCUUGGUUUCCAUCCAUAGGAAACCCUCGUGAUGAAAGCAAAGGAAAAGAGGGUGUGGUCCUCCUAGCUCUCUUUUUCCCUUUAUUUUUUCCCUCAAUGGGCCAACUUGGUCUUGCUGUGCUUGGUACCGGCCCAACUGACUUUGGUUACCAUCCCAUCCUGAUUAGAUUUGGAUGGAACUUCUGGAUCCAGUUAAGGAUUGAUGUCCCACACACCGUAUUGGUCUUGUUGUCCAUCAUGAUGGUAUGGUACUGGUGGUACUGUCUUGUUUUUGUGGGUCUCUAACCCUUGAUUAAGCUCAUAGUUUUCGUAGAUGCCUCCUGGCUGUUCUUGUUUUCUAGAAGGGAUAGACCUUAAAGGUGCAUCAUGUAUAUAGUAAAUGUCAGUGUAUUUAUAUCCCCCUUAUUUCUAAGGAAACACCUUUGCUUUUCUUGAUCUGUGUUGUCAAGUUAUUCAAUCUGCUCUAUGAUUUUUCAUUAAUCUAUAUUUAGUUGUUAGAGACAAAUCAAACUAGUUUAUUAAAUACUCAUACAUGGCAGAUCCAUGCAUAUCAAACGACCAAAUUUUGGAUGCUAUUUUCUUGCCUUAGGUAAUUCGCAUGGUCAUGACCCCAGUCAACUCAAGUCAUGGUCAUCUCUUCAAAUCAUGAUUUAAAGUAAUUUUGCUUUUAACACGGACAGUUUCUUCUAAAGAAAUUUGAUAUUUGACUUUACCUUUAUUUUCCUCCAGUUUGACAAUGACGCGAAUAAGUGAGGGGAAAAUGUUUCAUUCGAGUGUUUAAAUGUUAUCAUGAACUUCAUUAUUCUUUUCAGUACUUGCUGACGUGUUUUAUAUCUUUAUCACUUUCUUCUUGAAGUUCUUUCAAGGCUGAAAUGAUUCGAUCUUCUAUCAAUUAUCUAGUUUGUGAAUCUUGAUUGAUGUCUUUACUCACCAAGACUUGCUUAGGUGAUUUUUAUUGCUUUUACUGCUGAACUUGCAGUUCUGAUCUUCUUUGCGUCUCAAAUUACUAUUCCUCAAAAUAUGCAGCUCAGAUAUGUGCAACUUUGGAGAUUAUACCUGUGAGUUCCUUUUCAAUAUGAGACCCCAAUACACACUAUCAUUUAUUUAGAUCUUAAAUCUUUAUCAUAUCAUUUUCCUUAUAUUCCCAUUUCAUCAAUGAAUACAAAACUUGUCAGUUACUCUUUCAUUUCUUGAACUUUUAUAGGUCAUUCUGCUUGGAAUAUAUAUGGAUGAUAACUUACAAGCUCAGCAGCCGUUUCACCUAUUGAGUCGUAUUGAUAAAGAUAGUCUUCCAGAAUUUAUGCAGGUAUUUGUGCAUCUGUGUGAUGUAUAAUGGAUUUUCUUUUCUGAUAUUUUCCUAUGAAUUAUUAUUGCUGCAAUUGGAUAUAGUGAUCAUUGAUGAGGGGAUUGAAAUUUGAUGGUGUAUUUACAGAUUACUCCUGCUGCUCCUAUGUAUAUAAUUCUUCUUAUAUAUCUAUAUUCUCAUUCAGUUAUCUUUCCAAAUUUACAUUCAUGGUUUGUCCUAUUGUUUUACAUUACAAGGAGUCAAGGACCAAGAUUGUCAUUGUUUUGAUGCAAUGGAAUUUCAUGGAAAAAAAAUACUGAGGAAGUUUAAUUGUUGGAAGGGCAAUUGAGCUAACAUUGUCAUGCAUUGCAGUUGCUAUGCUUAACCUAUAUACAACCAAUCUAGUGGAGUAAUGAAGCAAUUGAAGGGCGCCAUUAACAUGGGAUGGAACUAUCCUAAUAAUUCAGUUCUCAUAGAAAGUAAUAAAGAUGCCAAUUGAAAUUUAAUCAUGACAGUUCAACUGGUAAUUAUGUCUUCACCCCUGCAGUAGCCUGAAUCUUGAAAGUUGCAAAAAGAGACUUGCAGAUCUAUGUUGGCAAUAGGUUAUUUAUUGCAAGGAUGGCAAGGUGUAUAGGCUGGACAGUUAAAAUUAAUUGUUAGGUCUCUACAAAAUCUUCUCAACAAACUCAGCGGAUCUGCUUGUCUUAAAGCCCUAUGACCCUCCUAGGGUUUUUUAUAGUAAUAGGUUUAAUCAUGGUAUGCCGUACUGGCUCGAACCGGACGGUACGGGCCGUACUGUACCGGUUCAGUAUCGGUACUCGGUAUGGGUGGCGUAUUGAUACUUGAUAUGCCAAAAAAACUCUGUACCAUACGUACCAAUCAAGGUCCGCUGUACCGGUACCGGUCGGCGUACCGGUGGCGAACCGGUAAAAAUAAAUUACUGGUACCGGAUUUCAUGCUGAUCCGGUACCGGUCCCAGGUCGGACCGGUACGUACCGGCUUGGAACCGGUACGUAUCGGCCGGUACGGCAGACCAUGGUACCGAUGCUGCGCUAGUGUGGCACCGAUACGAGGUUUGGUAUCGAGACGGCGAACCUUGGGUUUAAUAGUUUAGUAAACCAAAAGCAGAUAAUGUGGAAAAGGAAAGAGAGAAGGCAGGAAAGAAACCUGUUUUGAUAAAAGAAAGAAAGGAUUCUAUGGCUGAAGAAUGGCUUGAGGGAGAGUAUUGGGCACAUGUCUAGAAAAAAGAAUAGAAAACAGAAAGGGGCUGACCCUCUUUAUGUUCCACACUGUCCUACCACUUAGACCCUCUCCCUUCAGUGCUGUUGGAUGGCCUGUUUUCUCAUUGAAAUGCAUCAACUUUAGUCAUCAAAAACUUAUAAAAUUUGAGCCCAAAUUAUGUAGUGCAAGAAGCAUCAGACAACAAGUCAAUUCUAAAAAAGAACUAUCUAAUACCCAACAAAAGAAAGUGAACCGUGGUACCCGAAUGAAAAAAAUUUAACUGCAGCAGGAUAUGGGAAAAACUUUGACUUUGGAUUCAAUGAUAUCUAACAUGCUAACAUACUAACAACUAGUUUGCACAGUGGCAUUGGAAUUUUGGAUCUAAUUCUACUAUUAAAUUGAUGUUUGACUUAUGGUUGCUACCAUAGUCGGUUCCGCCCGUACCGGUGCCGUACGGCUAUUAAAAUCGGUUUCGAACCAGAUUUGGGUGAGAACCGAUCGGUUCAUGGCAUGUAUCAGUGUGAACCGGCUCGUUUCGUACCGGUAUGGGGUGUUCUUCAUGGGAGAGCGCGUGGCUAAAGCCAGGCGUUAAGUGCCACGCACUAUUGCACUUUUGGUACGAUACCGGUUCGACUCGGUUCGGUACUGGUACCAUAGCGGUACCGGCCGCACCGGUAUAUCGGUACGAUCAGUACAGGAAACCUUAGUUGCUACAUAAAUUAGAAAUUGCAGGUACUUGAUAUAGCAACAAUUUUAUCAAAAAGUUUCUGCUGCUUUUUUAAAAAAAAAUAAUAAAAAAAUUCCCUAUAUUUCUUCAAACUCAUUUGUGAUUCUGGUUGGGCUUGAUCGAGUAUAGAUGCUGUUCUUCAGAUUUAUUAGUGGUCCGCUAAUACUUUAAAUCGUUUAUUGUAGUUUGUGUACAUAUAUCAAGGUUUUACAUUUCGGAGGGACGGGGCCCUCCCGGUAGUCCUGUCCCGUUCUUGUGAGAACGGGACCGAGACAAGGUCAGGACUCAGGAACUGAUCCAUACAAGGAGAGAAGAAGAAAGACGAAAGAAAGAAAGGAAGAUGAAGAAAAGGAAAAAAUGAAAGCAAAGAAGAAGAAGAAAAAUAAAAAAAAGAAAGGAAGGAAGAAGAAAAAGAAAGGAAGGAAAGAAGGAAAAAAGGAAAGAGAAAGAAGAAGAAAAAGAAAAAAAAGAAAAAAAGAAAGGAAGGGAUAAGAAAAGGAAAAGAAAAGGUAAAGGAAAGAAAGGAAGGUAGAAGAAAAAGAAAAGAAAAGAACAAAGGAAAGAAAGAAAAAAAGGAAUGAAAUAAAUGAAAGAAAAAAAAGGGGAGAGAGUUGGAGGAUAUAUACUAGGAUGCAUGUCUGGCACUGCUGCCGGGAUAGAAUGGGACAGUGGGGCGUCCCAUUCCAUGGAGAAACCGGGACACCUCCAUCCCACAGGAUUUAAAGCCUUGGUAUGUAUUCAUAUGUUGGACCAUUUAUAUGCUGCAUGUGUAGAAAAUUGUGCUGUGGGAUUUACUAAUUCACCUUUAUGUAAUCAUAUACUUGAUAAAAGAAGAUGGAAAAGAAUAUAUCAGGUUGUAAGUAACUAGCUCCUUGUCAGAUGACUGUUGCUUAUAUUAUACCUGUUUUGGGACCUGAUACCAUCUUUCACUAAUAUCAAAGUGCCACCAGAUCAGGAUUCCUGAAUUCUGGUCGAACAUGGUUCCUAGUAUCAGAAAUUAUAUAAAUUGUAUAUUGUCUCUGAUUUGAGUAUGUCAUGUCAAUUAAUUAUGCUCAAUGCUCACAAGGCUAAUUUGGUAUUGACAAGUGACCAGAUUGAAGAAUAUGUGUGUCACUGAAGCCGCAAUUGAUAUUGAUUGCUUGCUCUUACUGUGUCCACUUAUGCUUUUGUAUUUCUGUAUUUUAUUAUUUUAUGUUGAUGGUUCACUUGUACUAUUGAUGCUGUAGGUGGAUCAACAACUCAAUUUAGCAAGGGCAGCAAAUAAAAUAUCUAUUAUCUCGGAGGUAAUUUUAACUAAUACAUAAUUUUGCUUUUGAAUUUCAACUAAUUGGAUAUGCAUGAUACAGAGAAAAUGUUAUACAUCACUAUCUGCUAAAAGUCAGAUAAAACUCAAGCAUUCCACAUGCUACAACUCAGGUUCACAUGCCAUUGUCUGUCCGGUACUACAGCAUGUAAUGAGAAACUGUCAUGAGUCAUGACUAUCUACUAUAAGAAAGUUAUCUACAGCCAUUGAAUGUAAUAUCAGAUUUAUCUCCUAAUGCACUGAAGUGUCUCUUUAUGUUCCAUGGUAUACUUUUAUUUAGUGCGGAAACACAUCAUUACCCUCUUAUUUUGUGUUCUUGGAUUCACCAUAUGAUCUAUGACCUGUCAUGAUAUAUUGUACAGUGCUUUAACAUAUGAAUUACUGCCAUACCAUGAUUAUGUGCUUCUUGUACGCCCUGUUUGGAUGCCAGAGUAACUUGUCCGGCGAUAAGAUGUGUUUUAAUCUGGAAACAGUCAAAUGAUCGUGAGUUUGAGGACAACAUAUGUAAUGGGAUGAGAGAACUUAACCAAAAUGGAAUAUACUUAUCAGCUUGUAUAAGGAAAAUCAGCUUUCAAAAUAAGCAAGUAUCUAUUUUUGGGGGACAGCGCAAUCAGGCACUUUCUUAUCAUCGGAGAUUCUUCUCCUCUGGCGCUUUCCCUUCCCUUCCAUCAUCUACUACUAGAAGGCGUUUAUUCAUGGACAGCUUAUUGGAGCUUCCAAACAGGGCCAUACUGAGGAAUUUGUGUGGUGCGAUUUAGGAAUCUCGGGUGGUGCUCUCGGCUAAUAGUUAUUUUUACACUUUAUAUUCUUUGACUAAUGAAUAACUUUUCACAAGAUCACCUUAGUAAGCUCAUGUCCUGCAUUAAAUCAACAAUUGCUUCAUUAGAAAUCUUAGCUAUAGAAAAGGAGAAAGAUGGGGCAGUGAUAUGAAUUGUUGAUGAGAUCCUUUCUCUACUUCAUGGCUGAUUGUGAUGUUUAAAAAAAUGGCUUGUAGUACUGCCAAAGGUCUAGUUCUUUUUCCCCCCUCUCCUUGGAGUGCUACUUUACAGAUAAUCAUAAUCAUUGAUUAUUAUCAAAAGAAGGCCGUUCCGGUGGGAUAUCCUGUAGGACACUGUGACAGGGUACUGUCCCAAGUGUCGGGAUAGGACCAUCAUGCCAUUAUCCGAACAUCUCGAUCGGCAUGUCUUGGGACAUCUCUUGUCCUAAGUGUUGGGAUGGGGCCGAAUAGUGGCGUGUCCCAUUCCGUAGGCAAAGUGAGCCAACCCUAUCCCACAGAAUUUAAAACCUUGAUUGUAGGUGGAAUCUCAUUUAACUACACCUUUUUGCAACACAUUGAUUAGCCCCAAUAUGAUUGGUUUGUUGUUCACUAUUUUGUAGUGGACUGAACAAUCUGAAACUUCACAAAGAAGAUAAUCUAGGCAAGAGAGUUCGACAAAAGUAGCCAAAAAAGAUCAAAAUUUAAGUUCAAUCUGGAUUGAGCAACUGUCCAUUGCUUGCAGGAGCUCCGAGAAAAGAGACACUUAUCCACAAAUGCAAAAGUUACUGGAUCAUUUAGAAUCAACCUUGAUCAACAUCCGAUAUAUUUUUCUCUUUCACAGUCUGCAUCUCUUUUCAGCUUACCAUAUAUUAACUAAUAUUGGCACAAGUGGUAAUACUUCAAAUAUUGAAUGGUUGUUAAGUGUCAAUUAGAAAACACAUUCUAUGAGGAAUACACUAGUACUUGAGAGGUAGCUCAAUUGACAUUAAUGUUGUCUUUGUCUCCAUCCCUUGUUACUUUUGCCAGGUAUUUGUCCUCUUCUCACUCUUUCGGAACAUCCAGUUUAAGACCAUAACCACAUCCAUAGUUUGUCGUACCAAUCGGUACGGGUCAGUACUGGCCGGUACGUACCGGUACCGGACGGAACUGGUACGGUACAGCUAUAUUUUUCGGUUCUGACUAUUCGCAAUCCGUACCGGCCCGUAUCGACCUCAAUUUUUUUUGGCUUUUGGCCCGAACCAGCCGAACCGGUACCGUACUGGUACCGGUGCCCACCGGUACAUCGGUAUGGUCGGUACAGCGGACCUUGACCACACCCCUUGUAUAUGUCUAGAAUCCAUUGAUGAAAGGAGCUAGGGAGAGCUUGAACCCAAUUCCAACAAUGAUGGAUGUAAGCGCAAUUGAAAUUUCUCGGGAGUUAUACAUUUGUGGAUUAAUAAAACCAUUCACUACUUGAAGCUUGGUCCUGCAGCCCCCCCCCCACACCGCACCAAGAUAAACCACAUAGCCAAGAGCAACCAUGAACCAGAAUAGAAGAGCUUGCCCCAUUCAUGAGUAAAUAUAUAGUUGUAGCCUCUCUAGACCAUACAUAUCUCUUGGUAUAUCAAGAUAAUAAGUAGGAAUAUAAACUGAAACAUUUUGGAGCUAUAAAGAUAGUUAUUGAAUUGUUAGCACCAAGGUAUGCCAUACCGUACUGAAUCGAGCAGUACAGGGUAUACGGUACAGGGCGUACCGACAGUCAGUAUGCCGAACCGGCCUCCAUACCGAGCAUACCAACAUAGUGACAAAGUGGCAUCGAUACGGGGCCUGGUACCGAGUCGACAUACCUUGGUUAGCACCACAUAGCUGAAAAACAAAAGGCAAAGAUUAAUAUAGAUUUGUUAUUUGUUGUGCAAAUGGAUAUCAUCCAUUUCAGAUAUCCUGAUAUUUUCUUUUAUCCAUGUUUUUUUUUGUUUAAAACUGCAUGAAAUGAAAAUUAGGCUUUGGAUUUAAAGAAGAUAAUUGUCGCUUCAGGGAGUGCUGCUCAUGUCAAGGAAUUUUCGUGGCCUUAUAAGUCUGGUACAUGUUUCUCUUGAUUUAAAUCUUCUGAGAAUAUCUUUAUUAAUUACUUUCUUAUCAGGGAAUGCUGCAUUAAAAUUUAGGAAUUAAAUUUACUCAGCUUGUUUAUUCAGGAAUACUAAAUUUGUUAUAACAGAAGCAAACUGAUUGGCUGUAACAUUUUGUAUCGUCAAUUGAUUAGUUUCUUUCUUUUUUUUGGAAAAUGGAUUGGCGUUAUAAGCAUGAUAACACGUGGUUUAAUCUACAUCUAAAUCUAUCAAUUUUGUAAACGUCAAGAUCUUAUGUUGCUAUUGGUUGAUGUAGACUUAUCACUCAUUGGUGUUUAACUUUACCCUUGCACAUAUAUUUUUUUAAUAUACUCAUCUAGGUGGGCUUUAGACCAUGAGCUCGGGUAAUUGAAUAUACAAACAUCAAUUCCUUGUGAAAUGAUGCUUUGGAGAUGAACCAAGACAUAUCUAUAAAUUAUCGGAGGAGACUGCAACAAUAAUAACAACAUAAUUAUAGGAGCACAUUGUUGUCAUUCAGCUAGGACGUUAACCCUGUUAAGAUAAUGUGUCUGAGUCAAGCCAUUUUGCUGCGAGCUUCCUAGUUGCAGGGAUAUUAUUUCCAAAUCAUUUUUAACUUUUAAGGCACGCGAUACACUAUUUCUUUCAAUUUUUCAUCGUACAAGUUACAACUAUUGACCAAGAUGGACGGGUAACUUUAUUUGAAUUUCUCCUGAGCUUGAUAGGGUCAACAUCUUUUGGUCUUUCCAAUUAUUUAUAUAUCUGGAUUGCAUUUAUGCUAUUGAAGACCUAAAAGCAGCAAAAGAAGAACUUGAUUUCAAGGGCACAGGUAUGUUGCCUUUAGAGAACUUAAAAGUUUAGUGCUUGACCAGGUUAGUAUCACCCUUUUGUGGUCCCUUGCAAUGACUUGAAACUCAGUGAAAAUGAGGAUGCAGAUUUUCAUUAAUUUUACUUAAGCAGAAAAUCUAAUUUAUAACUUUGUAGCGUCAAUAGAGGACAUAGGCACAUGGCAGUGGCAUUCUUUCUCAAAUCUCAUAGAAAAUUUUCUGUACAAGAUGAAUUACUUGGUGCUUCAUACGUAAUGGACUAGCAGCUGAGUAAGAGAGAACAUAUAAUUUAAUUGUUUUGUGUGUUUAGGCUGAUGCCAGUAAGGUUUAUGAUAGCAGAAGGUAUAAUUGAUGAAGGUCCAUGAGAAAUUUCUAAAAUCAUGUAAGAUUGGUUGAAAAUUCUGGAAGAAUUUAACCUUUAUUCUUUGGCGUUAAUUUUCAGAGUAGUAUAUAGCUUACUAGCCGAGGUCUUCUAUCUAAUGUAAUGCACCCGCUUCGCAGUCUUCCUUGAAUAUUGAACCCACGGUGGCUUCCUAAACGCUUCCUUACGAAAUGUGUUUCUAAAAUAUCUGCUUCCUCGCAUGUGUACCUGCAUCCCCUCCUGCUAUUCCCGAUUCUAGCAACUAAGUUUUGUAGCAAUAUUUGAAAGAAUUUAAGAAUGAUAAGGGUUUCACAGCUGAUAACUAUACUGAAAAAGAGGACAUGGUUUUUAGCAAAUUGGAGGGCUUUCAGCUUUACUAAUGAUGGGAGAGAAGAUUUAAGUUUAAUCUACCUGAAAAAUAGCAAAGCCUGGUAUUUUGAGCCUUUAAGGGGCAAAUCAAAACUGAACACCACAUAACAGCUUUGAAGCGCUUUUAUGAAGCCAGUUAUUUGUUAUCUUCAAGGAGGGCGUGAAGAUAGCUCCUAAGGAAGUUCUUCAUCAUCAUGAGUUAUAUUUUAUUUUUCCAAGAAGCUAAUCUUGAUCUUUUGGGGGAGGAUGUGCUUGAUGAUAAUUUUGGGGUUCUGGACGGGUAAUUAUGGAUUCCUUGCAAAAGUUAGUGGGUAUUCUUAUUUUUUUGGAUGAGAUGAAUACCAACGUAAGAUGAGUGGUGGUGUUUCUCCAUUAAAGAAAAAUGACCUAUAAGGUUUUGCUCACUUGGGAGGACCUUUUGUAAUGAUGAAGAAUUGGCUUUGUCCUUGGUUUCUUUAGGCUGCCGGAAUGUCUCAACAUCAUGUUUUGAGAAUAAGGGGACCUCCACGGUGGGAAUAUGAGGAGCUAUUGCAGUUCUUUUUUGAAUCUAUUGGUCCUCUGAAGUCUGAACCGUGUAUAGGGGAAUCACUUGUUUGAGCAACUAAUUUUGUUGAAUCUCUAAUUAUUUUCCACAAACUGUUAGCUUUCCACCUGUUGUGGUUCCUAUGCACUUUUUUUUUUGAAUUCUCAAGCAUGUUGAUUUUUUGUUUUCUAUGGUACAGGAUUUGGAGGACUGGCUAGAGGGGCAAGUGAGGAAGGAACUAUCAAAACGUCUAGAGAACAAACUGAAAACUUUUUUCUUGUUGCCCAAUGGUAUGUAGCUGCAAUUUAAACUUACAUUCUGAUAUUAUUGUACUAGGUAUCAGGUUAUUUUCUCUGCUCCAACUGAGCAAAAAUGUGAAUGACAUUAUGGCUAUGCAUUAUGGUACUCUCCUUUUGUAGAAUCACAUAGAUAAAUAUUAUCUAGUACUACCAAUUUUUAGUUGUUGCAAACACCUAGAUUGUCUAGCAAUGUUUAAGAUCUUGGUACCAUGGUACCGGUACCCAUACAGGUUGGGUGCCAGUCCAGUACAGUGGUGGUAUGCACCUUAUCAUAUUGGUACAUGGUACCAUGGUUGGUACCAGUACAACAGGCGGAUUUUUUUUUAAUUUUUGGCUAUAGGUAUAAAGGGCAUUCUGAGUAGUGAGUACCAGUUCAGUAUGGUAUGGCCAGUUCAGACUGGUUCAGCAUGGUACUGAAAUCCUUCUGCUCUGUUUUUAUUACCUUGUAAAAUGGUAGUAUCAUCUUACAGAAAGCUGACUUUAGCAUACAUGAAUGUCUACUAUUAUUGCUCUAUCAUCUUAAAAUGAAAUCAAAGUCUAUAUGAUGAUUAUUAUGGGGCCAAAUCAAUUAUGCUCUUCAUCCACAAGUUUUGGACAAUAUAUGUUGGAAACUAAUGUGCCCCCUCGAUACCAGUCUAAGUAUGAGCCAUAUGGAAUUGUUGGAAUUCUUUCUUGGUUUCAGGAUCUAUCCGUGGUUUUGCUUUAUAUACUUUUUGUCCUAUUCAAAAGCACUCCUUGGUGGUAGCAGAAAUAUCCUCCUGUGGUAUUUUGUCAAGGCUAUAAUGAAUAGCAAGAAGUUCAAUUUCUUCAGAACAAAUUAUUACCUACUGAUUUAGGGCAUUCUCGUUUGACUUAUAAUGAAGUUCAAAGAGGUGGUGCCCGAAAACAAAAUUCUAUUCAUGGAAGCUCAGGGUUACUUACUCCUCUAGAAUUGUGGAAAACUUACAUUUAGGAUGAUUACAUAGCAUCUUGAUGAUUAGACAAUUAGUAAAAAUGGGAAGCAUGCAAUUUUAAAAACUUUUAUAAUCCAAUAUGCAAAUCUGAGUAAGCACACACAAAAUCUAAAAUCACUGGUAGAGUAAGUGCCAGACUAUCUCUUUAAAGUUUUAACUGUUGAUUAACUGACUGUUUGCUUAAACAAUACACAAGUGAAAAUAAGAAAAAAUUUUAAACAAAUCUUUUUGGGGGUUGUGUAAUUUUCAAUGUUUAGAAAUGCUUAUUUGGAGGUUGUGGUGUCUCACAUGUUGAGGCUCGGCAAUCAAAUAACAUGUAUAGCUUUUCCAUAAUCAUAAUCAUGCAUAGCUUUUCCUUUUUAACUUAAAAAGGAAAAUUCAUCUAUCUUACCUUUUAAUCCUUACACCUCAGGAUUUAAGUCUGGCUUGACUAUUCCGCCUUACUAAAGACUGGUAGUGAAGUUUCAUCAUCUUGCAUUUACUAUAUGAAUGAAAGUUUAAGGCUUUGGUUACAAUCAGUAGGUAAGAGAUACUAUGAUGUGGUUGUGUUAACUUUGGAUCUACUACACAAUAGAAUGGAGACUGGAGAGCAAGAUGAAACUACAUCAAGUGGAAUUAUAGCUAGGUGGAUGGGUGAAAGGAAAUCUCUAGGGUGUUACGUGAUCAACAUAUGGCAUCAUGACUUAAGAGUAAAAUUUUGCUGUUUAGGAGUAAGGCCUGCCAAAUAUUGUAUGAUUAGGGUGUUGGGAAGUAAAGAGGGUCCAUCAUGAAUGAUGGAUGUGACUAAUAUGUCAUUGUUGAGAUGGAUGUGUACAUAUUCGAGGUACAGGAGUUGCAUCAUUUGAGGACAAAUUGAAAGAGGUGAGAUGACAUGGACAUGUGCAAUGAAAAACCAAGGAGGUGCUGAUAAGUAAUUGCUAAAAUUUGGGUAAAAGGAAUAGCAGAAGGAAAAACCUAGGAUAAAAGUUGUGAGAAAUGAUUUUUUUUUUUGCUUGCGGUUAAAUUUAGAGGGAACUCAGGGAACCUUUAAUGGGAAUAAUUAUCAUACAAAUGUCUGUAUAUCCACCCUCAAAUAGUUGGGAGAAGGCUAGAUGGUUAUAUUUGAUUAUGUAUUCCUUUUUUUGUUAAACAAAAAAAUGUGGAACUAAUGUGAGAGAUCCAUAGAGCUCCAUAGUAUUAAUAACGUUGUUUAACUUUCCACAGUUGGAUAUGAUAUUUUGGAAGUCAAUCUGAGGACAUUAUCAGCUUAUAUUCUUUCACAAUUGCAAAUGAUGGAAUCCUUUCAGGUGAUGAUUUAUAACAUUUGUUAUUAGUUUUGACAAUCAUAUUAUAUUCUUUCCAUUACUUUUCCAUAUUAACUAUCUCCAAUUUUUUAUCUUGGGUUUUGAUGUCGAUUUUAUAUCAGAUGUUGAGUAGCGUAUACUUAAUAUGUUUGUGGUUGUCUUUGCUUGCAAUAUGGUUACUUGGUUAUCAAGAAUGUAAGAGAUCAACUUCAACUAAUAAUAAAUGCCUUUUUAAGCUUCAUCUCUUAUUAUGGAAAUCGUAACCUUGUCCUUUGGAGUGACAGUGAAGUUAGGCCAAUGUGCUCUCUUGAAGAGAUUUUUGGAUUGGAAAUAAUGUAGCAUUGUAUUCUCCUUCUAUUCCUUAUCUCUUCUAUCAACUUUUCUCCUCAAAUUCAAGUUUAUGUUUAUGGUUGGUUGUUGUAAGGUCACAUGGGACUCCAAUCUACAUCAAUUGUCACAAAAAAUAUCAUUGCUUUCUCUAAUUAGGUUUUCUGUAUUAAGUUUUGUUUUAUCAUAUUUUGAGAUGUGGAUUAGUAGUUAGAUGAGGAAGUCAUCAUUGUCAUCACUCAUCGUCACCAUCAUCCAAGCCUUUUGCUGUCAAAUUAGUUUGCUAAGGAGUGUGAAUUUUAAGUGGAAACAGCCCUAUGAAAAUUUUGAACAAGAUUUAGAAUUGACUAUCGGCCGUAUGUCAAUCCUCAAAGAAUUGAUGUUGAGGCAACUUUAGGCAAGAGGAGGCUAAUUUGUAACCUAGAAGGUCAGCUAGCUGGUAAAAUAAAAUCUGCUUAUUUAUUGCAAUUUAAACUCUUGUAACUUUGGGGCAACCCUGCAAAACUCCCCUAGACAUUGAAAGAAUUAACUGAAGAGAGAAGAUAAUGAAGUUGAUAUACGGAAAGCUUUUGUUGUAUAUAGAAGUAUUCUAUAUAGUUUUCUAGUAACUUCAAUCAUAGUUUCUGAAAUCUAAUUUAUAAUGUGACACUUUAUUUUCUUUUUUUAGUGCUUCGAGUCCAGAUUAAAAACAUAUAUUUUUUCCAAUAUUUUUAGAUAUUUUUUCAGCUUUUUGUUAAUGAAUUGUGCAUACCUGUUUAAUUGUUUGCGUCACAUGUUUCUUACCUGACAAUGAUUUUUGUUUUAAUUAUUUCCCAUAUCAAUAGGUGGAGGAGGGAGUGAGUGAUACUUGUUGCUUUUGUACCUUAGGCUAGUAAAUGUUGAAGUGCUUAAAAUAUUUUCAUUUUCUUACAUAAAGAAUCUGUAACAUUAAAAGAAGUAAAAGAGAUCACACAUAAAAAAGUGCCAACUAUAAUGGUGAGAUUUCAUUUUUCCUUCUUUGUUUGGUUUCCUUGGCUUCUUUUUUAGUGGGGGGGUUGCGGGUGUUGUUUCUUUAGGGACAUCCUCAUUCAUCUCUUCAUCCUUAUAAAUCCAAGUUAGCUGAAGUGGUUUGUUUAGAAUCCCUUUUCCUCAUGCUAGCUACAGUUGGAGUUAUUCUUGUAUAUAAAAUGCAUUUGCUAUAUAUAGUGCCGAUCACCAAAUUCCAAAUGCUAGCUCUCGAUUUACAUCCUUAUAUACUAAAUAACAUUUUCUUGUUCAGCCAUUCUGCUUUCUACAAGUAACAUAUUUUCUUCUUUUGCAUGCCUUAAUGCACCCCUGCCUUUCAAAUUUUGUCGUCAUGCAAUUAUCUCCUCGAUCUUUGACCUAGUACUUACAUCUUUACUUCCAUUAUUAUAUACCAUUAAACCAGCUUCUUUUCUAUUAUUUUCCUUUCCCAUAUGAUGCAGCUCGUGAUCAGAUAUCAUCUUGACCUUAUUGUUAUAGCUGGCUGUUCUCUCAAUACUUUUAGUGGUCAAAAUCACGACAUUGUGACUGGCAAGCAGGCUAUGAUUCCACUAAGUGUGGUUGAUGUCAGUUGUUGAUGCAACCAGAUGCCAUUGGAUUGUAUUGCUAAAGGAGGGCCAGAAGAAGGCCAAAAACGUCAAUAUGAAGCAGAAAGGCUAUCUGUCUACCAGAGAGAAUCUUAGGAUUUGACCGCUGAACUGCCUCGGGUGUUCAGAUGCGAAAAGUUGAUAAUUCUUAGGAAAAAAGGAAAAAAUUGAUUUUAGCCUUUUGAGGGAACAGUGUAAAAUGAACAUGGACUUGUGGAAGAUCUUCGGUUGUUGAACUUGGUUGAAACAAUAGACAGUCACAACACUGACUCUCCACCACAAAUUCCAUAAAUAAUUUAGUUGGUUUGUUAAGAAACAAAUGCAGAUCGAUGGUGACAAGCCCUGAGGUGGUCAAGUUCCAGCAUCUUUUAACGAUUUUGGGGUGGGUUAUAAUUAGCAACAGAUGGCAUAGUUAGACUGUUGAUGUUUUUUGUUAACUAAUAAGCCAAUAUCAUGUGGAGGUGUCCAAGUUUAUUAUCAAGAGCUUGGGAGCUAAUGCUAUGUUCUGAUGCUACAUGCCUCGAAUAAGAAGUAUUCAAAGCAUGGUUCGCCAUACCGGCCCAAACCGGACAGUAUGGGGCGUACCGUACCGGUUCGGUACCGGUAUCUGGUACGGGUGGCGUACUGAUACUCAGUAUACUAAAAAGAUUUUGUACCAUACCGUACCGAUAUAGUGCCACUGUGGCUUCAGAACUGAGAUGGCAAAUCUUGAUUCGAAGUAUAAAAUAAUGCAAAAAAGACUAGCUAAUCAAGAGUAGGCUAUAUCUCCUCAAGUGUACAUAAUAAGUGACCUGACUAUGUAUUUACAUGAACAGUACGAUUGAAAAAUUAGUCUCUGUUAUAUUAAAGUAAAGAACAUAUGUAAGAAUUAUAAUUAAUUUUAUGAGAUUGUUCAUCUUGUGUAAAUUGGAGCCAGGUGUUGAGCAAGUAUGGUAAAUCUUACUUGGGUACCACAGCUCUAUGAUUGGAAUCGCGUUACAAUGUGGGUGUAUAGAUGCUGUUAAAAUUUGCUGUCACUGACUAUCGUUAAACCAUCCAAGUAAAUAUCUUGCCAUUCAUCCUUAUUAAAGUUCAAGUCCCCCAAUUGGACCUUGUUACUACUGAUUCAUUUUCAAAAUUUCUGUCUAGCUCAUUUAAGUUCCAUGCUGCUCCCCAUUAUUUCCGUCUCUUCUGUCCAGAUCUCAGUCCCUCUCCUUGCCAACACAUGUUCUAGUGUCCAGUGCAUAUGACUUAUAAGUCUUAACAAAUGAACCAUUAUUUUAUCCCAAGCUAAUCAAUUCUUGAGCUUCCUCCAAACUGCAAAUUUAUUUUUCAAACUUUACUAGCACAUCCAUGCAUCUUCCUCCACAAUUUCUGGUGUAAGCUCAUCUUCCCUCCACGAGUCACUGUAUCGCUAGAUGGUCAAAAAGCAUUCAAGAAAGACACCUUUAUUGUAUGCAUUUGGUUCUGUACCUUUCUUCGUGCAGAAAUGAUGAUGAAUAAUCAUUGCAGGAUUUACUUCAUAUACCUGGGAAUCGUAUUUGGGAAGAAACUUUUACCAAAGUUUUGAAGCAGUGUUUUGAAAAGGUAUAUCAUAGGCUACUAUUUUUUUCAUUCCUUUUUUUUUUAGCUAUAGAACAGUUGAAAUUUGAGUAUCGUAUGUGGUUUUUAUUCAUUUGGUUUUGAGACUGAACAGGAAUAUGCUGCAUUUAUUAAAAGAGAGCAAGGAUCUAUAGUUUCAGUUGCACAAUUGAAUGACUUCUCUAAAGCACCAACGUUCUAUGGUAAGCUCUCCAUUACCACUAUCAUAGGUGUUGUCAUUAUGUGUCUUGAGACUUCGUAUGUAGCUCACUCUGGACAAAUGCAAAGGUAUUUUUGCAAUAAGAAGGCCCUCAAGGCUCUUUAACUACUUUAUGUCUAAAGUUUUGAUUGGAGUUAACCCCUGAAAAGUUUCACACGUAAAUAUUCUUCUUCUACCUUGGUAGCCAUAAAAGUAUCUGAGUAAAUGUUGUGUCAAUCAUGCCCACAGCAAUUUAUCAUUGCACUGUUUACCUAUUUUCAGGACAUUUGUUGCACCAGCUAUUACGAUUGACGGAUCCUUCUCGGUCAAUGUUUAUAGAGCCUAUGAGCGGUUGGUGAGUAUCUCUUGAGUAGAACCGAAUUACUGAGUAUGUGAUUUAAACAAUAUAUUCUUUGUUAGUUAGUCUCCUAUUUUUAUUAGCUUUGAAUUAUGAGACUUGUAUAAGAUCUGAUAAGUUGGAAUCAUAUGUCAUUUAUUAAUUUGUUGUUUAGGUUUGAUGCUGAAGGACAUGAAUUACUAGGAUUGCACUUCAUCAAUCUAAUUGAGUCAUGGUAUGCGACUACCUGCUUUCAUUUAUUACUGGAAUUGUAGUGUUUUUGAAUGGGGGAAAAAGUGUGCAGAUUGUAUCUAUCUGUAAUACAGUUUCUGUAACUUAUCUCAUUAUCUUAUAUGAAACAAAUUUUGUAAUAGGAUAAUGAAAUUAGGUUCUUUCACCUGAUGCAUCUUUAAUUCAUAUUUAAAUCUUCUGUCAUAAUUAACUUAUCUAUUCUUAUUAUUUAUGUAAAUUUGUUUUUUUACUGGUCCAUGUGAAAGAACAUCUGCAGAUAUUUGUUUCAGACAUUGUUUGUACUAUUUCUCUGCUUCACUCAAUUGAUGGUUUUAACUUUAACAGUAUUUCUCAUAGUCACAAACAUGAGAGAAAAUGAUGAUGAGCAUCAGCUUUGUAGCCAUUUCUACAAGCAUCGUUAAAUACAAAACUAAAAUCCAUUUUAAAUAGGUUUUUUUUUCAUAUAUGCUCCUCAAAGCUUCCGAUUUUGUGUGAAUGUUGCUUAAAUUUGCAUUUUGCACAAAUGCCAUUCCAAUAAUGAUUUUUUGCACUAACAUCCUUGAUGUUAGCUAUUGUUAGCAGCAACGUCAGCGGAAUCGGUAUCGGGCACCGUACUAGUUGCUCGGCGGGACAAGUCAGUACGGGCUGCGCCGUGCCAGGCCCGUACCGACACAGUAGAAGAGAUGGGAGAAUGAAAAGAGGNNNNNNNNNNNNNNNNNNNNNNNNNNNNNNNNNNNNNNNNNNNNNNNNNNNNNNNNNNNNNNNNNNNGCCUCCGCCGGCCGGCCCUGACCGGCCUCUCUUCCUCUCUCUCUCUCUCCCUCCCUUCCUUGCUCUUUCUCUCUUUCUUCUUUUUUCUUCUCCUUCUCUCCCUCCGGCGAGGAUGACUUGGUUUCAAUGCCGGAACUAUUCCUGUCCGCCGCCAGUACAGCCCGGGACGCCUUGAAUCGGGCGGUUCGGAAUGGUUCUGCAGACCUUGGUUAGCAACCAUCAAUCUAACCUAAGGUCACAUUUCAUUGUACCAUGAUUUAAACAUAAUUUAUUUGCAAAAAUGAUAUAAAUUCCCUUAGAUUUGAAGGGAGGCAAACCAUCUUCUCUCGAGACCAUUCCAUGGUCGAGGGCAUACAUGUCAUUUCAUAAAAAAUAACUAGUUUUGACACCGUUCAACCGAUAAUUAAAAGCAAGGGCAUUGGCAUAGAAAAAUGAUAUUUCGAAGGGCACUCAUGCAAAAUGCAAAAUUACAGGGAAUACAUGCAAAAUCUGAAGUUUUGAGGGCUAUAUAUUGGAAAAACCACUUUUAAAUAUGCUUAUGUUCUGACAUUGGCUGGUACUAAUGCAUCACUACUUUUGCACGUAAGUCAUUGUUAGAAAUGGGUGUUGGGUUGUUGGGCUGCACCUUAGAUGAUGAGAAAACAGUACUGUUAUAGAAAAUCAGUCUGAUUUGAUGAAAUUCUUUUGUCAUCCUUAUAAACAAGCAUUGGAAGUGUUACCAGCAGUAAAUGCUACAAUAACUCAAUAUAUACAAUUUCAAUAUGCUAUUGCCUUCCAUAUAUAAGUUGCCCGCUUCAACAAGAAUGUUGCAUUUAUGUAGAUUAUAGUGGUGCUGAAAGGAUUUGAUUUCUGUGGUAUUUGGCUUCUUCCUGACCAGAUGAAAAGCUUCACUUGAUGUUUGCAUGGAAUGACAAUGCCUUAUUAUCACCUAAAUUAGGAAAACAGGCCUUUCUUUGUAGUUAAUAUUUUUUUCUCUAGAGAUUUUCCACUCCCUGACGAGUACCUGAGGCACAAUCAAACACAUCCAUCGCAUGUACACUCUAAUAGUUUAUGAUCUACAUCUACUGUCGGUGAUUCAUUACAGUUUAUAUGUUUGAAUUUGUGUAAUCAGAAGUCUAUUUUAAAUUUAUGUUUGAAAAUCUCUUAAGCUGUCAACGAAGUUCAUUUGAAGCAAACAAGACAAAAGAUGUAUACAACCAGUUAUAGUAUUGGUGAGCACUAUUCUGAUUCUGAGUUAUUGUACUCUGAAGAAGUCCUGUAUAUUGAAAUGUCUUCUACUGCUGCCCAAUUUUGCUGCCAAUACUGCUACGUAUUUAUACUUUUCCAAGUGUUUCACUGACCUGAUAUUUUGAAAAAUAAGAAAAACAAAGAUAACUAAUGCUUCAUAUGCAUAUUAUUGGUUCACAGUUCCAUAUAGUUUCUUUAACUUCACCCCAAUGGCCUUCUUUUAGCAGAUUUAUCUUAGGAAACAAUUAUUUUAUCACAAGUUUCUGCUCUUCGGACUUAACUAUAAACUUCGUCUCAAGGCUUCUGUUUAAGGAAGCAAGAUGAGGUGUAUGGGGAUGGUGAAGUCAACAAACUUCUAUGUUACAUAUACUUUCUGAAACAAAAGCUUUUAGCUUGUAGGUUAUGCUGCACUUUGUUUCUCUAGUUGUCUGUUUUCACCACUUCUAAUUUUUCCAGAGCAUGUUAGUUGUUAUAAUAAUGCCAAAACUUCUUUGGAAUGUUUCUGAAAACUCGUUCUUGCACUGGCUUCCUGAGCAUUUUUUAAUUUUUUGAGAGAUCUGCUUCCCCAUGUUUGCAUCUGAAUCUUUUCCUGCAGUGCUUUUGAUUUUUUGAGCAACUAAGCUAUGGAUCUACUACCAACUCGUUGAAAGUUUAUACUCAGCCACUAUAUCCGUGUUGGCUAUUUUUUCUAAGUGAUGAAUAAUAUUUAUGCUUUCUCAAGUCCAUUCGCCUCUUUAUUUUAUAUAGAACAUAAUUUUUCCUUCAAAUCUUGUUUGAUAUAGAUCCCAGGUAGUCAUCCUAACCUCCUACCACAAUUCAUUAUCACAAGAAGCACACAGGAAAUCUUCCCUGAGUUAGUAUUAUACUAUUAUCCAUGUGUUGAAAACAACUUGGUCCUUUCAAGGUUUACUGCAUGUGUUAUUACUUCCAGUAUUAUUAGUUAAUUUCUUUUCAAAACUGAUUCAUAAUUUUUUAUCAAAGACUUUCUGCGGAUGAAUGCU
rnacentral:lncRNA from 1 species